rnacentral:tRNA from 1 species
GCCUGGCUGGCUCAGUUGGUAGAGUAUUGGACUCUUGAUCUCAGGGUUGUGAGUUUAAGUCCCACGCUGGAUG